rnacentral:tRNA from 2 species
GGAAGGGUGUCCGAGUGGUUUAAGGAGCGAUAUUUGAGCUAUUGUGAUUUAUUCAUCGCAGGUUCGAAUCCUGCCCCUUUCG